UACGGAGGGUGCAAGCGUUAAUCGGAAUUACUGGGCGUAAAGCGCGUGUAGGCGGUCAGUUAAGCUGGAUGUGAAAGCCCCGGGCUUAACCUGGGAGGUGCAUUCAGAACUGGCUGACUAGAGUACGAGAGAGGGUAGUGGAAUUUCCUGUGUAGCGGUGAAAUGCGUAGAUAUAGGAAGGAACAUCAGUGGCGAAGGCGACUGCCUGGCUCGAUACUGACGCUGAGGCGCGAAAGCGUGGGGAGCAAACAGG
rnacentral:misc_RNA from 1 species